UACGGCCUUAUUAUGUUGAAACUCCUGUUCCGGUACGAUCCAAGUUAAGCAACGUUGAGUCUGCUCAGUACCUAGAUGGAUAACCGCUUGGGAAUACCAGGUGCUGUAAGC